rnacentral:rRNA from 1 species
UACGUAGGGGGGCUAGCGUUGUCCGGAUUUAUUGGGCGUAAAGAGCGUGUAGGCGGCCAGGUAGGUCUGCUGUGAAAACUCGAGGCUCAACCUCGAGAUGUCGGCGGAAACCAUCUGGCUAGAGUCCGGAAGAGGAAAGUGGAAUUCCUGGUGUAGCGGUGAAAUGCGCAGAUAUCAGGAAGAACACCCGUGGCGAAGGCGGCUUUCUGGGACGGUACUGACGCUGAGACGCGAAAGCGUGGGGAGCGAACAGG